UACGUAGGGAGCAAGCGUUGUCCGGAAUCAUUGGGCGUAAAGCGCGUGUAGGCGGUCCGGUAAGUCCGCUGUGAAAGUCGGGGGCUCAACCCUCGAAUGCCGGUGGAUACUGUCGGGCUUGAGUACGGAAGAGGCGAGUGGAAUUCCCGGUGUAGCGGUGAAAUGCGCAGAUAUCGGGAGGAACACCAAUGGCGAAGGCAGCUCGCUGGGACGGUACUGACGCUGAGACGCGAAAGCGUGGGGAGCAAACAGG
rnacentral:rRNA from 1 species